rnacentral:tmRNA from 1 species
GGGGAUGUACCGGUUUCGACAGGGAACAUGCAGUUGGUGAAGCUAUCCGUAUGCGAUGCGUCAAAUGGCAAAAAUAAAUAUAAACGCUGAAGAAAACUUCGCAUUAGCUGCCUAAGGGCAGCCAUCGGCUUUAAGGCACUCACAACUUAAAUAACCGGUGUCAAAUCUGUGAGAAACCUUAUAUGCAAAGCUUUGAGCAUAUAGAUGUACUAUGAAGCUACUAAACUCCAAGGACUGUGAAUUGCCCUUGGACGGAGGGAAUGUAUAUAAAUUCACUAUGAUAGUAGAAGAACAAGGAAUUGUUUCUUGGACACGGGUUCAACUCCCGUCAUCUCCAGUU